rnacentral:rRNA from 1 species
UACGUAGGGUGCAAGCGUUGUCCGGAAUUAUUGGGCGUAAAGAGCUCGUAGGCGGUCUGUCGCGUCGGCUGUGAAAUCCCGGAGCUCAACUCCGGGUCUGCAGUCGAUACGGGCAAACUGGAGUACUGCAGGGGAGACUGGAAUUCCUGGUGUAGCGGUGAAAUGCGCAGAUAUCAGGAGGAGCACCGGUGGCGAAGGCGGGUCUCUGGGCAGUAACUGACGCUGAGGAGCGAAAGCGUGGGGAGCGAACAGG